GAUGAACGCUAGCGGCAGGCCUAAUACAUGCAAGUCGGACGGGAUCCAGAUCAAAGCUUGCUUUGGUUUGGUGAGAGUGGCGCACGGGUGCGUAACGCGUGAGCAACCUACCCUUGUCAGGGGGAUAGCCCGGCGAAAGUCGGAUUAAUACCGCAUGACAUCAUUGAGAGGCAUCUUUCGAUGAUCAAAGAUUUAUCGGACAAGGAUGGGCUCGCGUGACAUUAGCUAGUUGGUAAGGUAACGGCUUACCAAGGCUACGAUGUCUAGGGGCUCUGAGAGGAGAAUCCCCCACACUGGUACUGAGACACGGACCAGACUCCUACGGGAGGCAGCAGUAAGGAAUAUUGGUCAAUGGACGGAAGUCUGAACCAGCCAUGCCGCGUGCAGGAGGACGGCCCUAUGGGUUGUAAACUGCUUUUAUACGGGAACAAACGUCGGUACGUGUACCGGU
rnacentral:rRNA from 1 species